GCAUUGGUGGUUCAGUGGUAGAAUUUUCGCCUGCCACGGGGAGGCCCAGGUUCGAAUCCCGGCCAAUGCA